CGGCGGAUGCACUGAUCUGUCACAGUUAACUUUCGCCUGAGAACCCUCUGAGAUUCUGCCAUGAAGUUGAUCGCGCUGCUACUUCUCAUCCUGGCCUUGAUGGCUUUCAUGGUACGAGCUCAGGAUAAAUCCCAGGGCGAUCGUGAAUGCUUAAGUCCUUUCUGGGUUAUACAGUGUGAACUAUAUAAGCGUGGAUACUGCAACCAGCCGCAUUGUAUCUGCUGAAAUCAUCACAACUUCCUCAAAUCUAAAGUCGACAAAGAAAUUGUUAAAACUGUAAUAAACAAUUUUAAUAAAUUUUUUUUUUUCCAAGAAAACUAUGUUUAGUAAAGUUUAGACUUGUGUAUAUAAACUGGCGGGAGCGCUGAUCUGUCACAGUAGAUUUUCCACUGAGAACCCUCUAAGAUCCUGACAUGAAGUUCAUCGCGCUGCUACUUUUCGUCCUAGCCUUGAUGGCAUUCAGGGCACGAGCUCAGGAUGAUUCCCUGGGAUUCCCUGGAUUCCAUGAGUGCAACAGUCCAUCCUGUGCUGUACAGUGUGAACUCCAUAGGAGGGGAUACUGCCGAAAAGAGGCGCGUUGUUUCUGCUGAAAUCAUUGAAACAGAUCAGAAAGCGAUAAGUAAAUUGUGAAAAUUGUAAUAAAAAAUUUUAAUAAAUACAAUUUUUCCAA